rnacentral:rRNA from 1 species
GAUGAACGCUGGCGGCGUGCCUAAUACAUGCAAGUCGAGCGAACGGACGAGAAGCUUGCUUUUCUGAUGUUAGCGGCGGACGGGUGAGUAACACGUGGAUAACCUACCUAUAAGACUGGGAUAACUUCGGGAAACCGGAGCUAAUGCCGGAUAAUAUUUUGAACCGCAUGGUUCAAAAGUGAAAGACGGUCUUGCUGUCACUUAUAGGUGGAUCCGCGCUGCAUUAGCUAGUUGGUAAGGUAACGGCUUACCAAGGCAACGAUGCAUAGCCGACCUGAGAGGGUGAUCGGCCACACUGGAACUGAGACACGGUCCAGACUCCUACGGGAGGCAGCAGUAGGGAAUCUUCCGCAAUGGGCGAAAGCCUGACGGAGCAACGCCGCGUGAGUGAUGAAGGUCUUCGGAUCGUAAAACUCUGUUAUUAGGGAAGAACAUAUGUGUAAGUAACUGUGCACAUCUUGACGGUACCUAAUCAGAAAGCCACGGCUAACUACGUG